CAAGCACUGAUACAACAACUAGCACAAGCCCAAGGGAUACAGUUUCCGAUGGCCCCCCCACCUCCACCUUCCAUACAUUUUCCUUGGCCUUCACCUCCACCUCCACCUACCGAACAUCAGGUAUAUGAGACUCCUCCAGCUACCUUGCCGGCGCAGCAACAAGAUGAUGGGUUAGACUUUGUCAAUACGCUCUUCGCGAGUGGAGGUAGCGAGCAUCACUCUUCGAUAUUUCCUGAUGUUGAUCGACAGUAGUGGGCUUCCAUUCGAUGUGUUUUGUGAGACU